UAGAAUGGUUUCAAGCAUGCUCAUAGAAUAUGGUAACAUUCUGGAACCAUAAGAUUCUUAAAUCUGCUGGGGACUAAUAUGGAGGCGCCAAAGGGAUUUCAAAAAAAUAAGAUUUAUAUUGUGGCUCAGAAGCAUCCACUAUGGUCAAACCUGACUCAUUCUUCUUCUUUCUGUGAAAAGAAGCUUACAGCAACGGGAUUUCUGCCAGAACUGAACUCAGCCGCUUCCCUGGGAAUGUUGUCCAGUUGUUAAUUUCACUACCGGAACUGUGUUCCCUCGCGUUCUGGCCUAUUUCCAUGCGUGCCUCCACUGGAAUAAAGGGUCUGACAGUUCUGUGGAUAAUGGGAGACAUUUUCAUCUAAACAUACUGAAAAGUGAUAAUCCUCCAGGGUUCUUGUCUAGGUGUUAAAUUGUUGUGGAUGUCCCCAACCUCCUGGCUGUUUGCUCUUGCCAAUCCAGCUUAGCAGCUGCCUGCUCAU
rnacentral:lncRNA from 1 species